UAGCAGCUCAAAGCGCUUGCCUCCCAAGCC
rnacentral:piRNA from 1 species